rnacentral:rRNA from 1 species
UACGGGGGGGGGUAAGCGUUGUUCGGAAUUACUGGGCGUAAAGGGCUCGUAGGUGGCCAACUAAGUCAGACGUGAAAUCCCCUCGGCUUAACCGAGGAACUGCGUCUGAUACUGGAUGGCUUGAGUUUGGGAGAGGGAUGCGGAAUUCCAGGUGUAGCGGUGAAAUGCGUAGAUAUCUGGAGGAACACCGGUGGCGAAGGCGGCAUCCUGGACCAACACUGACGCUGAACAGCGAAAGCCAGGGGAGCAAACGGGG